rnacentral:rRNA from 1 species
ACGCCUGCCCGGUGCUGGAAGGUUAAGGGGAUCUGUUAGAGCAAUCGAAGCAGUGAACUUAAGCCCCAGUAAACGGCGGCCGUAACUAUAACGGUCCUAAGGUAGCGAAAUUCCUUGUCGGGUAAGUUCCGACCCGCACGAAAGGCGUAACGAUUUGGGCACUGUCUCAACAAUAGACUCGGUGAAAUUGUAAUUCCGGUGAAGAUGCCGGAUACCUGCGACAGGACGGAAAGACCCCAUGGAGCUUUACUGUAGCUUGACAUUGGGUCUUGGUACUACAUGUACAGGAUAGGUGGGAGGCUUUGAAACCAGGACGCCAGUUUUGGCGGAGCCAUCC